rnacentral:rRNA from 1 species
GAUGAACGCUGGCGGCGUGCCUAAUACAUGCAAGUCGAGCGAACAGACGAGGAGCUUGCUCCUCUGACGUUAGCGGCGGACGGGUGAGUAACACGUGGAUAACCUACCUAUAAGACUGGGAUAACUUCGGGAAACCGGAGCUAAUACCGGAUAAUAUAUUGAACCGCAUGGUUCAAUAGUGAAAGACGGUUUUGCUGUCACUUAUAGAUGGAUCCGCGCCGCAUUAGCUAGUUGGUAAGGUAACGGCUUACCAAGGCAACAAUGCGUAGCCGACCUGAGAGGGUGAUCGGCCACACUGGAACUGAGACACGGUCCAGACUCCUACGGGAGGCAGCAGUAGGGAAUCUGCCGCAAUGGGCGAAAGCUUGACGGAGCAACGCCGCGUGAGUGAUGAAGGUCUUCGGAUCGUAAAACUCUGUUAUUAGGGAAGAACAAAUGUGUAAGUAACGAUGCACGUCUUGACGGUACCUAAUCAGAAAGCCACGGCUAACUACGU